rnacentral:rRNA from 1 species
AGAGUUUGAUCCUGGCUCAGAUCGAACGCUGGCGGAAUGCUUUACACAUGCAAGUCGAACGGCAGCACGGACUUCGGUCUGGUGGCGAGUGGCGAACGGGUGAGUAAUAUAUCGGAACGUGCCCAGUCGUGGGGGAUAACGUAGUGAAAAUUACGCUAAUACCGCAUACGAUCUAAGGAUGAAAGCGGGGGAUCGCAAGACCUCGCGCGAUUGGAGCGGCCGAUAUCAGAUUAGGUAGUUGGUGAGGUAAAGGCUCACCAAGCCAACGAUCUGUAGCUGGUCUGAGAGGACGACCAGCCACACUGGAACUGAGACACGGUCCAGACUCCUACGGGAGGCAGCAGUGGGGAAUUUUGGACAAUGGACGCAAGUCUGAUCCAGCCAUUCCGCGUGCAGGACGAAGGCCUUCGGGUUGUAAACUGCUUUUGUACAGAACGAAAAGGUCUCUAUUAAUACUAGGGGCUCAUGACGGUACUGUAAGAAUAAGCACCGGCUAACUACGUGCCAGCAGCCGCGGUAAUACGUAGGGUGCAAGCGUUAAUCGGAAUUACUGGGCGUAAAGCGUGCGCAGGCGGUUAUAUAAGACAGAUGUGAAAUCUCCGGGCUCAACCUGGGAACUGCAUUUGUGACUGUAUAGCUGGAGUGCGGCAGAGGGGGAUGGAAUUCCGCGUGUAGCAGUGAAAUGCGUAGAUAUGCGGAGGAACACCGAUGGCGAAGGCAAUCCCCUGGGCCUGCACUGACGCUCAUGCACGAAAGCGUGGGGAGCAAACAGGAUUAGAUACCCUGGUAGUCCACGC